GUAACGAAUCCAUUAAGAAAUAG
rnacentral:snRNA from 1 species